GGUAACCUCCGGCCCUGGAAGGUUUUGUCUAGCGGGUUCCGGAUGGACUGGUGUUCCCAGCACCCCCCCCCCCCGGCACGUGUCCACGUGUGUGGCCCCGGUACGGUGUAUGCCUUGCCAGUAGGUGACUCAACGUGGCACUGGUUGAGCGCGGGAUGAGGCCUGGCCCUGGCGCGGGGCGUGGGCUGCUGCGGCCCUUUCCUCCCCGCGCCCCUCACGCCCCAGCGGGCCCCUAGCGGUUCCUGUCCACCCGCUCCAUGUCUUUACCCCGGUACUACUUCCACCUGCAAUCGCCUCCUUCUGCGCGCCAGUGGCCUCUGCGUUUCUGUUGAAAGGUACCGACUACGCGGUGCUUCCCAGUUCUGAGGCGAUUUAGUCAGCGGACUCAAGGCGCGCUCCCUGCCUUCCCCGGCCUCCCAGCAGGGGACGAAGUCCCCAACCUGGCUGCCAGUCCAGAUGUUGCAGUACAGGUCUGCCUAGGAGGCCGUUCCCUUCUCCAGUCUGAGAUCUCCCUCGCGGGGCACGUGUCUACCACCCUUAACCCAGGGCUGCCCUGGUUCCACGAUCGGUUACAUGUUGCUGACUGUCCCCAAAAGGUUUCUUUGUAAAAUGUGGGAAAGUCCUUGAAGAGACACCCGGAGCAGUGUCAGGGGCGCUUCCAGGAGCCCCCGCCUCCAGGAGCAGGUCCUAGGGUCUGGAGAGCCGGCCUCAGGGCCACUCCAGGAGGCUGGUGGGGCUGGACUGGCAGAGCCCAGCAUUCUUCUGGUGUGCAUCAUUCCCCUAUGAGUCAGGGAUGAAUCCCAAGGGACUUUUCACUUGUUCUCCUUGUGAGUGAUCGCCUUAAGCGCGACCCAGGUGCGGCCAAGGAGAGAGGUCAGGCCUGAGGCCAGGAGUCUUCUAGAAAAGGCUUUUCUUGUCUUGAAGGCGGGGCAUGGUGGCUCAGCCUGUAAUCCCAGCACUUUGGGAGGCUGAGGCGGGAGAAUGACUUGAGCCCGGGAGGUCGAGGACCGCUGCACUCAGUCUGGGCAACAGAGUGAGACCCUGUCUCAGAAAAAAAAAAAAAAAAAAGCCGCCCUUCAUCUUCCUCUGGACAUCUUGUGGCUGGAAAGGAACCCUAGAACCAGCCACUUGCAACCACAGGAGGAACAAGUCUAAGGAAAAGCCCACCUGCUGAUGAGGGCAGAGCCUCCCAGACCUCCAGCCUGUUCCCACAACACCCCCUCCCUUCCACCUCAGCCACCUUGACCUUCCCAUCAUGCUCCUGCUGCCUCGGUGUCUUCACACCUGCCGCAUUUUCUGCCUGGCAUACUCUCCAUAAAUCACCCUUGCCUAUUGCUCUUCCAAACGUCAGGUCUCAGCGGCCUUGGGUGUGCCGACACACACACACACCCACACACACACAAUGCAUCAGGCCCCUGGUGACACAUUCUCACACCCCCUGUACCUCCUUUUUAGAGUUACAAUGAGCCUUCAUGUGUGCUGCUCCAUAGUGGUGGUUCAUGGGGCUGUAACCAGUCCCUUUUUAGUGCAUGCUCUGUGUCUUCCGCGGUGCUCAGGCAGCACUGGCUAAAUGAUUGCAUGGAGGACCAUCCUUUUGUUCUCCUGAUGGAUGACAGUGAGUUCUCAUUUUCAGGUUUACCAUGGAACCAUCUCUGCAAUGCAGCCCCUUCCACAUUGCCCCAGCCCCAUGGAGCUGGUGCUCCCGUGGCGCUGUGCAAUUGCCUGUUCCUGUGUGCCUCUGCUCCCCUGACACUAGGAGCCCUGGAGGGCAGGGCCAGGUAAAAUACCUGUUUUCUGACAAGACUAGGACUCUUACAUAGACUGCCAUGAACUACAAGAAGUAUAGCAUUGCUCGAAUAACCUGUGGUUAGAGUUACUUGUUAUUGGUAAAUAGCCACUGUGGAGACUAAGGACCAAAAGAAACACAGAAAGAAAUUUUACAGAAGAAAAACAGUGGGCCCAAAGCUGAAAAGAAAAAGAAGCAGCAUCUACAGGAUCUCCAGCUAGGGGAUGAAGAAGAUGCCCGGAAGAGAAAUCCCAAAGCUUUUGCAAUUCAGUCUGCUGUGGGGAUGGCUUGAUCCUUUCACAGGACUCAGGAUUUGAAGACAAAAAAGCAUCAUAUUCCAGUGGUUGAUCAAACUCCACUAGAGCCGCCACCAAUAGUGAUAGUGGUGAUGGGGCCUCCAAAAGUUGGAAAGAGCACUUUGAUAUAAUGCCUCAUUGGGAACUUCACCCGGCAGAAGUUGACCGAGAUCAGAGGCCCUGUGAUGAUCGUGUCAGGUAAAAAGCUCCGACUCACCAUUAUUGAAUGUGGGUGUGACAUUAACAUGAUCUAUUUGGCUGAAGUAGCAGAUCUGGUUGCCAAGCUGUUCUACCUUUCUGGAAUGGUGCAUGGAGAAUAUCAAGACCAAGAAAUCCACAGUCUGGGUCAUUUUAUUACAGUUAUGAAGUUUAGGCCUGUCACAUGGCAGACUUCCCAUCCUUAUAUCCUGGCAGACAGCGUCAGCCUCGAGUUUGACCAGCAACAGGGGUCGGUGUGUCCCUCUGAAUCUGAGAUCGAUGAGGCAGGAGCUGGGGACAGGAUGGCAGGAGCGCCCAUGGCUGCUGCUGUACAGCCUGCUGAGGUGACUGUUGAAGUUGGUGAGGACCUCCACAUGCACCACAUUCGUGACCGGGAGAUGCCUGAAGCUUUGGAGUUUAACCUUUCUGCCAAUCCAGAGGCAAGCACAAUAUUCCAGAGGAACUCUCAAACAGAUGCUUUGGAGUUUAACCCUUCUGCCAAUCCAGAGGCAAGCACAAUAUUCCAGAGGAACUCUCAAACAGAUGUUGUAGAAAUAAGAAGAAGCAACUAUACAAACCAUGUAUCUACUGAGCGUUUCAGUCAACAAUACAGCUUGCGUUCGACAAUAUUCCUUGAUCACAGCACAGCCAGUCAGCAUUAUCUUAUAAUGACAAUAAUAUCUGUGACCUUGGAGAUACCUCAUCAUAUCACACAAAGAGAUGCAGAUAGAUCUUUGAGGACACUUGAUGAACAGUUACACUCAUUUGCGGUUUCCACCGUGCACAUUAUGAAGAAAAGAAAUGGAGGUGGGAGUUUAAAUAACUAUUCCUCCUCCAUUCCAUCGACUCCCAGCACCAGCCAGGAGGACCUUCAGUUCAGUGUUCCUCCCACUGCCAACACACCCACGCCUGUUUGCAAGCAGUCCAUGCGCUGGUCCAACCUGUUUACAUCUGAGAAAGGGAGUGACCCAGACAAAGAGAGGAAAGCCCCGGAGAAUCAUGCUGACACCAUCGGGAGCGGCAGAGCCAUCCCCAUUAAACAGGGCAUGCUCUUAAAGCGAAGUGGGAAAUGGCUGAAGACAUGGAAAAAGAAAUAUGUCACCCUGUGUUCCAAUGGCAUGCUCACCUAUUAUUCAAGCUUAGGUGAUUAUAUGAAGAAUAUUCAUAAAAAAGAGAUUGACCUUCAGACAUCUACCAUCAAAGUCCCAGGAAAGUGGCCAUCCCUAGCCACAUCGGCCUGUGCACCCAUCUCUAGCUCUAAAAGCAAGGACAUGGACACCGGGCUGGGUGACUCCAUAUGCUUCAGCCCCAGUAUCUCCAGCACCACCAGCCCCAAGCUCAACCCGCCCCCCUCUCCUCAUGCCAAUAAAAAGAAACACCGAAAGAAGAAAAGCACCAACAACUUUAUGAUUGUGUCUGCCACUGGCCAAACGUGGCACUUUGAAGCCACGACGUAUGAGGAGCGGGAUGCCUGGGUCCAAGCCAUCCAGAGCCAGAUCCUGGCCAGCCUGCAGUCAUGCGAGAGCAGUAAAAGAAAGUCCCAGCUGACCAGCCAGAGCGAGGCCAUGGCCCUGCAGUCGAUCCAAAACAUGCGUGGGAACUCCUACUGUGUGGACUGUGAGACCCAGAAUCCUACGUGGGCCAGUUUGAACUUGGGAGUCCUCAUGUGUAUUGAAUGCUCAGGAAUCCACCGCAGUCUGGGCACCCGCUUUUCCCGUGUGCGAUCUCUGGAGCUGGAUGACUGGCCAGUUGAGCUCAGGAAGGUUAUGUCAUCUAUUGGCAAUGACCUAGCCAACAGCAUCUGGGAAGGGAGCAGCCAGGGGCAGACGAAACCCUCAAUAGAGUCGACGAGGGAAGAGAAGGAACGGUGGAUCCGUUCCAAAUAUGAGCAUAAGCUCUUUCUGGCCCCACUACCCUGCACUGAGCUGUCCCUGGGCCAGCACCUGCUGCGGGCCACCGCUGAUGAGGACCUGCGGACAGCCAUCCUGCUGCUGGCACAUGGCUCCCGUGAGGAGGUGAACGAGACCCGUAGGGAGGGAGACGGCUGCACGGCGCUCCAUCUGGCCUGCCACAAGGGGAAUGUGGUCCUGGCACAGCUCCUGAUCUGGUACGGGGUGGACGUCAUGGCCCGAGAUGCCCACGGGAACACAGCGCUGACCUACGCCCGGCAGGCCUCCAGCCAGGAGUGCAUCAAUGUGCUUCUGCAGUACGGCUGCCCUGACGAGUGCGUGUAGUAUCUGUUUUAUUUGACUGCAGUCUCCUUGGUGCAAAAACAAAAUGGGAAAAAUAAGGAUAACUCAGAAUUUCAAAAGGAAAUCACAAAUUCAGCUAAUAAUAGCAUUUUCAGUACUUUUCGUAAACUAAGUAAAUACACAAAAUGUUGAUUUUUCUGACCAUAA